UGGGGAAUAUUGGACAAUGGGGGGAACCCUGAUCCAGCCGUGCCGCGUGUGUGAAGAAGGCCUUUUGGUUGUAAAGCACUUUAAGCGAGGAGGAGGCUACCGAGAUUAAUACUCUUGGAUAGUGGCCGUUACUCGCAGAAUAAGCACCGGCUAACUCUGUGCCAGCAGCCGCGGUAAUACAGAGGGUGCAAGCGUUAAUCGGAUUUACUGGGCGUAAAGCGCGCGUAGGUGGCCAAUUAAGUCAAAUGUGAAAUCCCCGAGCUUAACUUGGGAAUUGCAUUCGAUACUGGUUGGCUAGAGUAUGGGAGAGGAUGGUAGAAUUCCAGGUGUAGCGGUGAAAUGCGUAGAGAUCUGGAGGAAUACCGAUGGCGAAGGCAGCCAUCUGGCCUAAUACUGACACUGAGGUGCGAAAGCAUGGGGAGCAAACAGG
rnacentral:rRNA from 1 species